rfam:Neurospora tetrasperma FGSC 2509 unplaced genomic scaffold NETTE2scaffold_1, whole genome shotgun sequence.
CUCGGAUGAUGCAUUAAAUUAUUUGCUACUCUGAAGUACAUUGAUGUCUCAAUAAUCACCAAGAUCUCUGACUAU